GAGGUUGUAGCUCAGUGGUAGAGCACUUGCCUAGCAUGUGUGAGGCACUGGGUUCAAUUCUCAGCACCACA
rnacentral:tRNA from 2 species